rnacentral:rRNA from 1 species
AUGUGUAACCAGGCCACUGCUAGGUAUGUUCUUUUUUCAGGUUGGGUAAAAAAGCACUCGACACGAGUCUACCGAGGGCGUCGUCGGCUUAGACACGGUAGACUCGAGGGCAUUGCCAGAAGUCUGCAGGAGGUGCAGCAGAGAGGUCCUAGCGACCACGGCGGCACAUCCGCGGCUGGUCCACCUCAGGCUGCUUCUCCACCACCAAGUGCUUGCCCCGCGUGUGCUUCUUUUCUCCCAGGAGUGGACCGUAGUCAUGGAGAGCGGCCAGAGGAGCAAGGACGGUCAGCCCCUGCCUCCUUUCUUGCACGGCUGCACGUGAUGGGGAUUACGAGCGACAUACGUGAUUUUGCAAGUACAGGUGAUAAAGAUUCAUGA